rnacentral:rRNA from 1 species
AACGAACGCUGGCGGCAGGCUUAACACAUGCAAGUCGAGCGCCCCGCCAGGGGAGCGGCAGACGGGUGAGUAACGCGUGGGAACGUACCUUUUGGUUCGGAACAACUCCGGGAAACUGGAGCUAAUACCGGAUAAGCCCUAACGGGGAAAGAUUUAUCGCCGAAAGAUCGGCCCGCGUCUGAUUAGCUAGUUGGUGAGGUAACGGCUCACCAAGGCGACGAUCAGUAGCUGGUCUGAGAGGAUGAUCAGCCACACUGGGACUGAGACACGGCCCAGACUCCUACGGGAAGCAGCAGUGAGGAAUAUUGGACAAUGGGCGCAAGCCUGAUCCAGCCAUGCCGCGUGAGUGAUGAAGGCCUUAGGGUUGCAAAGCUCUUUUGUCCGGGAAGAUAAUGACUGUACCGGAAGAAUAAGCCCCGGCUAACUUCGUG